UUAGCUCAUAUUUGUAUGGAAUAGGAUCGUUUGCGUACGUUUGCCGCUAGGGGCGCUGUUCCAACUGCAUACAAAAUUGGGUUA
rnacentral:pre_miRNA from 1 species